rnacentral:rRNA from 1 species
AGAGUUUGAUCCUGGCUCAGGACGAACGCUGGCGGCGCGCCUAACACAUGCAAGUCGAACGAGAGAUGAGGAGCUUGCUCUUCAAAUCGAGUGGCGAACGGGUGAGUAACGCGUGAGGAACCUGCCUCAAAGAGGGGGACAACAGUUGGAAACGACUGCUAAUACCGCAUAAGCCCACGGCUCGGCAUCGAGCAGAGGGAAAAGGAGUGAUCCGCUUUGAGAUGGCCUCGCGUCCGAUUAGCUAGUUGGUGAGGUAACGGCCCACCAAGGCGACGAUCGGUAGCCGGACUGAGAGGUUGAACGGCCACAUUGGGACUGAGACACGGCCCAGACUCCUACGGGAGGCAGCAGUGGGGAAUAUUGCACAAUGGGGGAAACCCUGAUGCAGCGACGCCGCGUGGAGGAAGAAGGUCUUCGGAUUGUAAACUCCUGUUGUUGAGGAAGAUAAUGACGGUACUCAACAAGGAAGUGACGGCUAACUACGUGCCAGCAGCCGCGGUAAAACGUAGGUCACAAGCGUUGUCCGGAAUUACUGGGUGUAAAGGGAGCGCAGGCGGGAGAACAAGUUGGAAGUGAAAUCCAUGGGCUCAACCCAUGAACUGCUUUCAAAACUGUUUUUCUUGAGUAGUGCAGAGGUAGGCGGAAUUCCCGGUGUAGCGGUGGAAUGCGUAGAUAUCGGGAGGAACACCAGUGGCGAAGGCGGCCUACUGGGCACCAACUGACGCUGAGGCUCGAAAGUGUGGGUAGCAAACAGGAUUAGAUACCCUGGUAGUCCACACCGUAAACGAUGAUUACUAGGU